rnacentral:rRNA from 1 species
UUCUGGCUCAGGAUGAACGCUGGCGGCGUGCCUAACACAUGCAAGUCGAACGAAGCACUGGAAACGGAGAUUCGUCAAAGUUCCUUUGACUUAGUGGCGGACGGGUGAGUAAUGCGUGAGCAACCUGCCUUUCAGAGGGGGACAACAGUUGGAAACGACUGCUAAUACCGCAUAAUGUAUUUAGGAGGCAUCUCCCGGAUACCAAAGGAGCAAUCCGCUGAAAGAUGGGCUCACGUCUGAUUAGCUAGUUGGUGAGGUAACGGCUCACCAAGGCUGCGAUCAGUAGCCGGACUGAGAGGUUGAACGGCCACAUUGGGACUGAGAUACGGCCCAGACUCCUACGGGAGGCAGCAGUGGGGAAUAUUGGGCAAUGGGCGAAAGCCCUGACCCAGCAACGCCGCGUGAAGGAAGAAGGUCUUCGGAUUGUAAACUUCUUUUAUGAGGGACGAAGGACGUGACGGUACCUCAUGAAUAAGCCACGGCUAACUACGUGCCAGCCGCGGC